AGAGUUUGAUCAUGGCUCAGGAUGAACGCUGGCGGCGUGCCUAACACAUGCAAGUCGAGCGAUUCUCUUCGGAGAAGAGCGGCGGACGGGUGAGUAACGCGUGGGUAACCUGCCUCAUACACAUGGAUAACAUACCGAAAGGUAUGCUAAUACAAGAUGAUGUAAGAGAUUCGCAUGGAUUUCUUAUCAAAGCUCCGGCGGUAUGAGAUGGACCCGCGUCUGAUUAGCUAGUUGGUAAGGUAACGGCUUACCAAGGCGACGAUCAGUAGCCGACCUGAGAGGGUGAUCGGCCACAUUGGAACUGAGACACGGUCCAAACUCCUACGGGAGGCAGCAGUGGGGAAUAUUGCACAAUGGGCGAAAGCCUGAUGCAGCAACGCCGCGUGAGCGAUGAAGGCCUUCGGGUCGUAAAGCUCUGUCCUCAAGGAAGAUAAUGACGGUACUUGAGGAGGAAGCCCCGGCUAACUACGUGCCAGCAGCCGCGGUAAUACGUAGGGGGCUAGCGUUAUCCGGAUUUACUGGGCGUAAAGGGUGCGUAGGUGGUUUCUUAAGUCAGGAGUGAAAGGCUACGGCUCAACCGUAGUAAGCUCUUGAAACUGGGAAACUUGAGUGCAGGAGAGGAAAGUGGAAUUCCUAGUGUAGCGGUGAAAUGCGUAGAUAUUAGGAGGAACACCAGUAGCGAAGGCGGCUUUCUGGACUGUAACUGACACUGAGGCACGAAAGCGUGGGGAGCAAACAGGAUUAGAUACCCUGGUAGUCCACGCCGUAAACGAUGAGUACUAGGUGUCGGGGGUUACCCCCCUCGGUGCCGCAGCUAACGCAUUAAGUACUCCGCCUGGGGAGUACGCUCGCAAGAGUGAAACUCAAAGGAAUUGACGG
rnacentral:rRNA from 1 species